rnacentral:tRNA from 1 species
AGGGGUAUAGCUCAGUGGUAGAGCGUAUGCCUAGCAUGCAUGAAGGCUUGGGUUCAACCCCCAGUACCUCAA